GGGGAAUAUUGGGCAAUGGGCGCAAGCCUGACCCAGCAACGCCGCGUGAAGGAAGAAGGCUUUCGGGUUGUAAACUUCUUUUGGCAGGGACGAAGAAAGUGACGGUACCUGCAGAAUAAGCUCCGGCUAACUACGUGCCAGCAGCCGCGGUAAUACGUAGGGAGCAAGCGUUAUCCGGAUUUACUGGGUGUAAAGGGCGCGUAGGCGGGACUGCAAGUCAGAUGUGAAAUCUGGGGGCUCAACCCCCAAACUGCAUUUGAAACUGUGGUUCUUGAGUGAUGGAGAGGCAAGUGGAAUUCCUAGUGUAGCGGUGAAAUGCGUAGAUAUUAGGAGGAACACCAGUGGCGAAGGCGACUUGCUGGACAUUAACUGACGCUGAGGCGCGAAAGCGUGGGGAGCAAAC
rnacentral:rRNA from 1 species